AUGUACUUCUCCGAUGAAGAGCUGGACCUUUCCCUGGAGGAAACAGUGGAAGUCAAACUGAAGACGUUGGAAACCUUUGCCAUCGAGGAGAUCUCCAAGCUACAGGAGGACACCAGGGUCCUCCAGGAAGCAGCAGAGAAAGCAAUGGAGGGAGACGUGGCUGCCUUGAAGGCAGACCUGGCCUCGCUUAAAACGCUUGUUGCGGACCAAGAGCAACAGCUGCAGGAACUGAGGGAGAGGCUGGAAAGGAACAUUGGGCCUGAAGUCCUAGACAUGCCCUCAACUUCGGGAGAUGACAACAGCGCGCAGAAAAGGAAAAGAGAAGAGGAAGAGCUUGACGUCCACUUGACGGAGUUUUGGCCCGAGAACCCCGAUCCUGAUGACAUAAUGACGCCGAGACAACAGGCGUUUUUCAACUUCAUGAUGGAUCAUCUGACAGUUGUUGACCCAAGUAACCUGGACAGUCACUUAGAAGAUUUGAAGGCGGAUGGAGUUACACGGGGAGUGUGGACAGCGGACUUUGUGCCAGACAGCUACCUGAGGAAGAAAAUGAAGACGUACAUUAAAGAAAGGCACACCAAAAUUUUUGAAAAGAGGGAACGCAUGAGACUGCAAAAGAACUGAGGGAAAGGCAUGUAACAGGAACAGUGAGGAUGAAGUGCAAGAGAUGGCUGCCACCUACGACCACCUAUUCAAUUUUUGCUUAGCUUCAUGAUGUAACAUCUGAUCAGUCAAAGGUGAGACCUGAACCAAUUUACACCUUACUCAAAAUGGUGGUCAGUUGCUAAACACAAAUACCUGUUAUUUCCAUCAGACCUAAGUAACCUUGAGGGAUGUGUCCAUGGCUAAGGCGGAAGGAGAUGUGAUGACAGAAGACCGUGUGUGUCAGAAUUCUAGCUAAAUUAAAUAAAAUAAAAAAAACUAAAUUAUACACUAAAUGAGGACUCAGAACCCCUGAAACGCAUAAAUAACCGCCCCAAUCACACCAAAUAUACAAAACAGGUUGACCUAAACUUUUCACAUUUUCCACUAAAUUCUGAAGUCUUUCCAGUUUUUUUUUUUUUUUUUUUUUUGCACGAGACUUCCUACCAGCACAACAAAAACUGUUUCUCAAGACAACUGCCUACUGCAACUUUAACAAUUAUUGUUUUCAAAAUUGUUUUGUCCUCUUUUUAAAAUCUCUCUCUCUCUCUCUCUCUCUCUCUCUCUCUCUCUCUCUCUCUCUCUCUCUCUCUCAGGGGAUGACUUCAACUUCAGGGGAUGACUUCAACUUCAGGGGGUUACAAAGAGAGAGAUGAGGGAGCUUGACAGCCUCUUGAAGUAGUUUUGGACUGAGAAGACUGAUCCUGAUGGCAGAAUGAAUGAGACAGCAGGCGUUUUUUAACUUCAUCAUGGACUAUUUGCUCUAUAUUGGUGAGAACUGAACCCCUUUACGUAACACUUUUUACAAAACAGUAUAAUCGCAAAACGCAUACCUGUUCUUUCCACCAGACCCAAGUAACCUGGAGAGUGACGCAUCCCUAUUGAAGGCGGAAGGAGUUAGACUGGCUGUGUGGACAGCUCUGUGUGCCAGACAGCUACCUGAGACAAAAGAAGAUUUACAUCAAAGAAAGGCACAAAAUUUUGCAAAACAGGGAACGUAUGAGACUUCAAAAUUUAGGUACAAAAAAAUCGUCAAAGGUUUACAUGUUUUGUGUAUUUGGUGUGAUUGUGUGUUGGGGCGUUCUGAGAGGUCUUGAGUUUUUUUUUUUUUUUUAAUUUAUUUUUUUUUUUUUUAAACAUUUAAAAUAUUUCGAAUUGAGAAAACGACAAGCUGAGGGUGUGUUGUGUUUUUCAGGGGUUCUGAGCAGCACUAGUACACUGAAAAGUGUUUAAUGCUGAACUGUUGCAAACAAUUUACUUGUGUUGAAUUUAAACAAACAAAUUAAACUUAAUAAUGUUCAACUUAAUUUGUCUGUUUAAAUUCGGGCUAAAUUGUUUACAACCACUUAACGUAAAAAAAGUUAAAGGAAUCAUCUUUGAAUAUAAUUUUCAGUGUAAGAAUGAAACUUAAUAAAUAUUUAUAAUUGUUCUAAAUAUUGUCUUUGUAGUUCUUCUUCUUCUCUUUUUCUUUUUAAAUCUCCAUGUAUACUUUAAACACUGGGAUACUAGUCACUGUGAAUGGUUUGGUUACCAUGAUUAACUGGGAACACUGUUGCCAGUUAAUUUGACUGUCCAGUUAACAGAGCGGUCACUAACUGGGAGCUGCUUGCUGUCAUGUACUGUAGUGUUAAUACUGCAAACACAAUUUUGUGUGUAUGUAAUUUUAUUAACAUUUUUAUCAUCAUGCUUUUUCUAUUAAAGUUUCUGUGCACUGCUGAGAGUGGAAUUGAGUAUUUAUUUAUUGUUUUUAAAAUCUGUAUUAAACUACUUUGUUGCCAGAAUGAUGCAUUGUGCAGUUUAGAUGAUCGGUCACACUUUCAUGUUUAGAUUCAGGCAGAGACUCUGUGCAAGUGUGUUU
rnacentral:lncRNA from 1 species